AUGUCACCACAAACAGAAACUAAAGCAGGUGUUGGAUUUCAAGCUGGUGUUAAAGAUUAUAAAUUGACUUACUACACCCCAGAGUAUGAAACUAAGGAUACUGAUAUCUUGGCAGCAUUCCGAGUAAGUCCUCAGCCUGGGGUUCCGCCCGAAGAAGCAGGGGCUGCAGUAGCUGCCGAAUCUUCUACUGGUACAUGGACAACUGUUUGGACUGAUGGACUUACCAGUCUUGAUCGUUACAAAGGACGAUGCUAUCACAUCGAGCCUGUUGCUGGGGAAGACAACCAAUGGAUCUGUUAUGUAGCUUAUCCAUUAGACCUAUUUGAAGAGGGUUCCGUUACUAACAUGUUUACUUCCAUUGUAGGUAACGUAUUUGGUUUCAAAGCCCUAUGUACUCUACGUUUGGAGGAUCUACGAAUUCCCCCUACUUAUUCAAAAAAAUUCCAAGGCCCGCCUCAUGGUAUCCAAGUUGAAAGAGAUAAGUUGAACAAGUAUGGUCGUCCUUUAUUGGGAUGUACUAUUAAACCAAAAUUGGGAUUAUCCGCAAAAAAUUAUGGUAGAGCGUGUUAUGAGUGUCUACAUGGUGGACUUGAUUUUACCAAAGAUGAUGAAAACGUAAACUCACAACCAUUUAUGCGCUGGAGAGACCGUUUUGUCUUUUGUGCCAAAGCUAUUUAUAAAUCACAGGCCGAAACCGGUGAAAUCAAGGGGCAUUACUUGAAUGCGACUGCGGGUACAUGUGAAGAAAUGAUUAAGAGAGCUGUAUUUGCAAGAGAAUUAGGGGUUCCUAUUGUAAUGCAUGACUACUUAACUGGGGGAUUCACCGCAAAUACUACUUUGGCUCAUUAUUGCCGCGCCAAUGGCCUACUUCUUCACAUUCACCGUGCAAUGCAUGCAGUUAUUGAUAGACAGAAAAAUCAUGGUAUGCAUUUCCGUGUAUUAGCUAAAGCAUUGCGUAUGUCUGGGGGAGAUCAUAUCCACUCUGGUACAGUAGUAGGUAAGUUAGAAGGGGAACGCGAAAUGACUUUAGGUUUUGUUGAUUUAUUACGCGAUGAUUUUAUUGAAAAAGAUCGUGCUCGCGGUAUCUUUUUCACUCAGGACUGGGUAUCCAUGCCAGGUGUUAUACCGGUAGCUUCAGGUGGUAUUCAUGUUUGGCAUAUGCCAGCUCUGACCGAAAUCUUUGGGGACGAUUCUGUAUUACAAUUUGGUGGAGGAACUUUAGGACAUCCUUGGGGAAAUGCACCUGGUGCAGCAGCUAAUCGAGUGGCUUUAGAAGCCUGUGUACAAGCUCGUAACGAAGGGCGCGAUCUUGCUCGCGAAGGUAAUGAAAUUAUCCGAGCAGCUUGCAAAUGGAGUCCUGAACUAGCCGCAGCUUGUGAAGUAUGGAAGGCGAUCAAAUUCGAGUUCGAGCCGGUAGAUACUAUUGAUUAA
rnacentral:rRNA from 1 species